GCAAGAAGAGGGUGCUGACAUAAUGGUGGAGUACAGAAAACCAAUUUAUUCACAAAUGCAGGAAUACAAAACUGUAUAAAAACAAGUAAAAUUAAAACAAAAUAUAAAAAUAGACACGGGCUGGGAGGGAAUCAUGUACUAUAUGCAGAUAAUUAGCAUACGUCCCACCUCCUCCUUCCUUCGUAGACAUUGUGCACUCAAAAUAAUUGAGAUGCUUUUUGCACCAAGUGCUUCCUCCAGUCAUUGUUUGCAUUCUGCUAAUAACAAUCGUCUAUAUAGCCCUGAGUCCCUUGCUCUUCAAUUAAGAGUGAAUAAUAAUUGUUUCAUGGGGGCAUACCUACU